rnacentral:rRNA from 1 species
GACGAACCGUGCGAACGUUAUUCGGAAUCACUGGGCUUAAAGCGCGUGUAGGCGGCCCGGCACGUCCGUCGCUGAAAUCCCCCGGCUCAACCGGGGAACUGGCGUGGAUACGACCGGGCUGGAGGGGGGUAGGGGGAGCUGGAACUUCCGGUGGAGCGGUGAAAUGCGUUGAGAUCGGAAGGAACGCCCGUGGCGAAAGCGGGCUCCUGGACCCCACCUGACGCUGAGACGCGAAAGCCAGGGGAGCGAACGGG